GACGUAGGGCGCGAGCGUUUGUCCGGAUUUAUUGGGCGUAAAGAGCUCGUAGGCGGCUUGUCGCGUCAAUGUGAAAAACUCGGGGCUCAACUCCGAGCUUGCAUUCGAUACGGGCAGGCUAGAGUUCGGUAGGGGGAGACUGGAAUUCCUGGUGUAGCGGUGAAAUGCGCAGAUAUCAGGAGGAACACCGAUGGCGAAGGCAGGUCUCUGGGCCAAUUUACUGACACUGAGAACGAAAAGCAUGGGGGAGCGAACAGGG
rnacentral:rRNA from 1 species